AAUGAACGUUGGCGGCGUGGAUUAGGCAUGCAAGUCGAGCGGAAAGGCCCCGCAAGGGGUACUCGAGCGGCGAAAGGGAUAGUAACGCGUAGGUCACCUACCCUCGGGACGGGGAUAGCUGGGGGAAACUCCAAUUAAUACCCGAUGAUGUCUCCGGACUAAAGGUGUGAUUCCGCUUUGGGAGCGGGCUGCGUUGUGCUAGCUUGUUGGUAGGGUAAUGGCCUACCAAGGCGAUGAUGCAUACCGGGCGUGAGAGCGUGGCCCGGCUCACUGGGACUGAGACACUGCCCAGACACCUACGAGUGGCUGCAGUCGAGAAUCUUCGGCAAUGAGCGCAAGCUUGACCGAGCGACGCCGCGUGCGGGAUGAAGGCCUUCGGGUUGUAAACCGCGAAAGUAGGGAGGAAAUCGCUAGGGGUUCUCCCCUAGUGUUGACCUAUCUUCAGUAAGGACGGGCUAAGUUCGUGCCAGCAGCCGCAGUAACAC
rnacentral:rRNA from 1 species